GAAGCCAUGCAUGCCCGCUCACCCGGGACGCGGCGGACGGCUCAGGACGACGGUUGCACCCCCCGCGGCGGUCCCUGCUAGCCGGACAGGGCUGGCAACCCGGCGCCAAGACGUGCGCGCAAGGGC
rnacentral:rRNA from 1 species